UUUAAUAUUAAGUAUAACUGUAUAAGAGUAUAAAAAUAUGAAAAAAACAAAAUAAUUAAAUAAAAACCAAGGAGGAGAAAUGAAAUGAAAAGAAAAAAAUCAAAAUCAUAAGAGAAAAAUAUAUGAUAAAAAAAAUUUCUGCACAAAAGGAAAAAGGAAUACAAGAUAACGAACUUUAAUAACGGUAUUCAAUAUUAUAGUUCGUAAAUAGCUUCGGGCAUUAAAUUCAUUCAAAUAGAAUAGCACAGCUGAGUUUUCAUUCAGUUAUUGGUAAGUGCUUGGUGUGAUCGCAUCCUCUCCCGUCUCUUAAAAUAGAAAAAAAAAAAGUAGAAAAAAAAGUAAUUACCAAAUUAAUUAUUAAAUAAAAAAGAAUGUUAAUUACACCUUAAAUUUUUAACUCUUUAUUCAAGAACUUUAAUAAAACAAAAUUAAAAUUAAAUCACAUAAAAUAAUAAAAAUAAUUAAAAAUAGAAAAAUUGUAAUAAAUAUUUAAAAUAGUGAACAAUUAGUAAGCAAAAAAAAAAAAAAAACAAAUAAUAAAAAUAUUUAAAAUUAUUCGUAAUUAAAUUAUAAUUUAAAUUUUCCGCAAAUUUCUUAUAAUCCAAAAAAUUAAAUUACAAUCAAAAUUUUAAUUGUAAAACAAAAUUUUAAAUUUUUAUUAAAAAAAUUUUAAGAAAAAAAAUAAACCCUAGUUAAAAUAUUUAAGUGAAUUUUAAACAAAAAAUAAAUUUCUGAAUUAAAUUAUAAAAACAAUUUAUUUAAAAUUAAAAUAUUAUAAAAUAAAUUUUAAAUUCAAAUAUUUCAAAGAAUAAACAUUUUCUUAACAAAAAAAAAAAAAACCAAACUAGAAAAAGUUGUAAAAAUUGGAAUUAUAAUCACAAAGGAAAACUUAAACAGUAUAAGAGAAUAGAGGACAUAUAAGAAUAAAAUAUUUUUUAUAAAAAUUAAAAAAUAAAAUAAAAAAAAAAUAUUUAUUUUUUUUUUAAAUAUGCGACAAUUGUACACACAUACAUAUGAAAUAAAUUCUUUUUGUUAUAUCAAUUUUUUGUCUGAGUGUACAAAAAUGUGAUAUGAAGAAAAUCCUAAUUUAGGACCUUUAAAAGGAUAUUAUAAUACUUAAAUAUAAUAAUAGCAAAAACUUAUAUAUUUUAAUUUUGUUUUUUAUUAUACAAAAUGUAAAAAAAAACUUAAAUUGAAGAGAAUUUAUAAUAAAAAAAAAAUAAAAAAUUAAACUUUAUAAACUUGUAAUUUUCAUAACUAAAUAAACUUUAUAUAAAACCAUUUAUCUCGACUUUGUAUACCUAUGCAUGUAUAAGUGUAAUACAAAAAAAAAAAAUUAUAGUUAUAAAAAUGGAAAAUGAUUAUUUUAUUUAACCAAAAAUAUUUGGAAAAAACAAAAAAAAAAAAAUAAACUAAAAUUAAAGUAAGAGAAUAUAACUAAACAUUUUAGUUACCUAACUGUUAUACUUACGAUAAUCUAUAACUGUACAUACAUUGAAACAAUUUUUUUUUUGUUUACAAAAUAAUAACGGAAAACAUGAAAAUAUAAAAUUUUCUAUAUAUAAUAUUUUAAUAGAAAACACACUCAUAUAAACUACAAUAAUAAUAAAAAUAAUAAAAAUAAUAAUAAAAAAAAAAUUAAACUAAACCAACAAACAAUCAUCAAAUUAUUAAGUACAACUAAAACCACAGUAAGAAAACAACAACAAAGGAAACUCAAAAUAACAAAAAAAAAAAAAACAAUCGAAAAAUAUAAUAUUUUGAAAACAGUAUAACAGUGUUGUAGGAAUAUAUUGUAAUAAUAUGGCAACAGUAAUUGUAACAACUGCAAAUAUUAUUAAAACAAAAAUAAUAUUGUUAACACCAAAAUUUUUCCAUCAUUGUUUCCUAUUUCAUGACCAUCCAUUAUAAAAAAAUAUAAAAUUUUAUUCUGAUGACAAUAAUGAUGAUUGUUAUUGUGAUUAUAUGAUAAUAAAAUUCUGAAUAUAAAACAACAAAUAAAUUGAAAAUCUCACCUGACUUUCUCACAUCCUCACAUAUUUAUGCCAAGUCAUUUUAUAUUAUACAAAAUUUUACAUAUAUACGACACAAACAUACACAAAAGAAAAAUAUGUAAUUUUUACUUGAAAAUAUAAUGAAGUCUCUGUAUAAUAUUAUAAAUGGUGUUGUAAAGAAAGAACCACUUUAGUAUAUAGUACAGAUAUAUAAGUACGUAUAUAUACAUACGAUAAGUGUACAAGAAUGUGCACCACAAAUGAUGGUAAUAAUAAAUAAUAAUAAAAGAAAGAUUUUCAAUUUGAAAUCAUCACGAUUUUUGAAUCGUCACAAAUAACUAUGCUUUCUAUAUAUGGUUUAAAUAUUGCAUAUAUACAAAGGCUCAUUUUCUUACCUAUACAUAUUAUACCUACACUAUUUAUUUUAUAUAGUGUACUCAUAUUUCAUUAUCUCUUCUAUUCCAAUUCCAUUUCUUUUUACAUUAUAAAAACCAGAAAAAAUUUUAAAGGCAAUUUCAAAUGAAUAAUAAAAUAAAAAAAAUAAAAAAACAAAAUUUCAAAUAAAUAAGAACAAAACCAAAUUUGAUCACGAACAUUUUUUUUGUUGUUGUUAACUAAGUAAACAAAAAAGGAAAUAACAAAAUAUCCUGUUUAAAUCGACUGUGAUGGCUACAUUCAUUGUACAAGUAUUGUACUUACAUAAAUAUUAAUAAAUACGUGUAUGGUUAAAACCAAUAUAAUUAUAAAUAAAAGGAACUUAAUAUAAAUGAAAGUUAUAAUAAAAUUUUGGGAGUGAAUAAAAUAAUAGCUGAUCACAAAAACCCCUCCAGCCCAAACUGCUAUGCAAUAUACAAAACCGAACCGAUUCUAAUAUUGAAAUAAAAAGAAAAAUUUGUUUAUUACCAUAUAAAAGGAAAAAUUACAAAAUAUAAAAUAUUUUACGAGAGAGAGAAAGAAAGAAUAAGAAAGAGAGAGAGAGAGAGAGAGAGAGAGCAAGGAACUCAAACAAAAGAAUUUUUGAUUAUUUCAAUCGUGAUGAAAUUUUGUUAUUUAUAUUGUAUACAAUGAAGCACUUUAAUUUCGUUGUAGACUUUUCUAUGCAUAUACGUUUGUACGUAUAUGGUGCUUCUAGUAAUGCUUUGAUGGUAAG